GAAGGAAAAGGCUUAUUCUUCGUCUAUAAAUUGGGAGAUACAAACAAGAUUCUUGCUCAAGCUCUCGAAAUCACUUUUGUCAGUUUGUUUUCUCUGCUCUGCUUGUGAUUUUCGGCUUUCGAAGGUCUUCUUCUUUUCUGCCGCUUUCUCGUGCCGAGAUCAGUAUCUCUUUCUUUCUGAAGCGUGAGGACGAAGCAGCGGAGAACUAAAUGGCGGCGCCUAAGAACUUGGAGAAAAUGGCUUCCAUUGAUGCUCAAUUGAGACUUCUUGCACCGAGUAAGGUGUCGGAGGAUGAUAAGCUGGUGGAAUAUGAUGCUUUGUUGCUCGAUCGCUUUCUGGAUAUUCUUCAGGAUUUGCACGGGGAGGAUCUCAGAGAAACUGUUCAAGAGUGCUAUGAAUUCUCAGCC